UGGGGAAUAUUGGACAAUGGGCGCAAGCCUGAUCCAGCAAUGCCGCGUGAGUGAUGAAGGCCUUAGGGUUGUAAAGCUCUUUUACCCGGGAAGAUAAUGACUGUACCGGGAGAAUAAGCCCCGGCUAACUCCGUGCCAGCAGCCGCGGUAAUACGGAGGGGGCUAGCGUUGUUCGGAAUUACUGGGCGUAAAGCGUACGUAGGCGGCUUUGUAAGUUAGAGGUGAAAGCCCGGGGCUCAACCCCGGAAUUGCCUUUAAGACUGCAUCGCUUGAACGUCGGAGAGGUGAGUGGAAUUCCGAGUGUAGAGGUGAAAUUCGUAGAUAUUCGGAAGAACACCAGUGGCGAAGGCGGCUCACUGGACGACUGUUGACGCUGAGGUACGAAAGCGUGGGGAGCAAACA
rnacentral:rRNA from 1 species